CUCAACCUGGGAAUGACAUUCCAAACUGGCGGGCUCGAGUCCGGGAGAGGGAGGUGGAAUUCCCCGUGUAGCGGUGAAAUGCGUAGAUAUGGGGAGGAACACCGGUGGCGAAGGCGACCUCCUGGCCCGGCACUGACGCUGAGGUGCGAAAGCGUGGGCAGCGAACGGGAUUAGAUACCCCGGUAGUCCACGCCGUAAACGAUGAGGACUAGGUGUGGGGCGGCGAUCCCGCGCCGUGCCGAAGCCAACGCGUUGAGUCCUCCGCCUGGGGAGUACGGCCGCAAGGCUAAAACUCAAAGGAAUUGACGGGGGCCCGCACAAGCGGUGGAGCAUGUGGUUUAAUUCGAUGCAACGCGAAGAACCUUACCGGGGCUUGACAUCCCUCGGGAUCCCCGAGAAAUCGGGGAGUGCCUGCGGGAGCCG
rnacentral:rRNA from 1 species